UACGAAGGGGGCUAGCGUUGUUCGGAAUCACUGGGCGUAAAGGGCGCGUAGGCGGCUUUUCAAGCGUGCGGUGAAAGCUCGGGGCUUAACUCCGAGUCUGCCGUGCGAACUGGGAGGCUUGAGUCUGGUAGAGGUCGAUGGAAUUCCGGGUGUAGCGGUGGAAUGCGUAGAGAUCCGGAAGAACACCGGUGGCGAAGGCGGUCGACUGGGCCAGUACUGACGCUGAGGCGCGACAGCGUGGGGAGCAAACAGG
rnacentral:rRNA from 1 species